AUAAUAUUAAACCUGCCCGCAACGGACAGAUUUUGACGGAUGAAUUUACGGAUUUGCGGGUACAAUUGUCAUCCCUAGUUAUAUGCAUCAAAAUUAUAGAACUGUUGUUAAGGUAGGCGGGCUCAUUGAGGGGAUCAAUAUAACAAAUGUGUUCGAAAUUGCAAGCACUAUAGUGUCAAGCACUAUAGUGUCGUCGCGGAGUUACCUUUAAGAUGUGUAUUUGUCGUACUUGACUGCCAAUAAUUAUUUUGGGGAGACUUUUACAGGUCAUCAGUUGAGACCAAGGCCUGCAAUUGCACAAUUCAAAUUGGAUUUGGAUAAUCAAUGUGGGGGCAAAAAAUGGAGAACCUCUUGGGUUAAGACUUUGAGGUCUUAAGUCAACCAGCGGGCCUGGCACGUUAAUAAGUCAUAAGGUUGUGUUUGGUUGGCAAGGGUCAAGAGAGGUAGGGGUGGCAAAAAUAUUUAUUUGGUCCGGAUUCGGAUUGUACCUGUGCGUUACUUAGUUUGGGUAUCAAGUCGAGUCGAUCUUAGACAUCACGUGAUAAACCUAGAGUCCGGCUAGGAACUCGGAUUUUAUUAAAAAAUUAUAAAAUAUAUAUUAUUU
rnacentral:lncRNA from 1 species